UGGGGUGUAGCCAAGCGGCAAGGCAACGGACUUUGGCUCCGUGAUCGUUGGUUCGAAUCCAACCACCCCAGCCA
rnacentral:tRNA from 1 species